UUGAACCCAUUCUUGUUGACUGUAGCAGACUUUGACAUCUACCAUUAGCAAAGGGUGUGAACCCAUUCUUGUUCUAGUCCUGAAUAUAUUCUGCAAGCAUUUUGCAUGCUUUCCCUUAGAGAGAGGAGGUGUUGACACCUCAACUGCUUUCUACUGUAUACAAAGAAAAAAUGUUUACAAAUGGAAUAGAAGAUGAGCUAAAAGCGCCCGAAAAGCCUAGCUUAGUUAUAAUUGUAAUUGAGGAUUCAGUAUUUUUAGCUUUUAAAACUGAUGUAUCCCAGAAAGACACAUUAUCAGGAAAAUAAUGCUUCAAAAUUUUAAAAUCCCUAGCAGUAUUUCUGGUUUUGAUGUAAGUUGGUCAUCCCUGUAUCCAAACUAAUAAUGUUUUUUUUUCAGUCAAUUAACCCCAUUAAAGUCUUCAAAUAUAAGAUAUAAAAUAGCAGUGUGUAUAAUGGUUGCUAUAAGAUUCAUCAUUCUACAAAUACAAUUAAACAAUUGAAGAAUGGUACCAAACCUCUGCUAAUUUGGAUGUCCUGUAAAUGCCGUGUCCAGACCUGUAUCAAUCCAGGCACAAUAUUGUCAGCUAUCAAUGUCAACAGGGAAACAAGCUCAUAAACAAUCAAUGCCAAACCAAUGAGCACAAUAUUGUCAGCUAUCAGUCAGCAGGGAAACAAGCUCUCAAGCGAUCAAUGCCAAACCAAUGGGCACAAUGUUGUCAGCUAACAAUGUCAUCAGGGAAACAAGCUCA